rnacentral:rRNA from 1 species
GAUGAACGCUAGCUACAGGCUUAACACAUGCAAGUCGAGGGGCAGCGCAGUGUAGCAAUACAUGGGCGGCGACCGGCGCACGGGUGCGUAACGCGUAUCCAACCUUCCCGUUACUCAGGGAUAGCCUUCCGAAAGGGAGAUUAAUACCUGAUGGUGUUGAAAUUCCGCAUGUUAUUUCAACUAAAGAUUUAUCGGUAACGGAUGGGGAUGCGUGACAUUAGAUAGUAGGCGGGGUAACGGCCCACCUAGUCUAAGAUGUCUAGGGGUUCUGAGAGGAAUGUCCACCACACUGGAACUGAGACACGGUCCAGACUCCUCCGGGAGGCAGCAGUGAGGAAUAUUGGUCAAUGGUCGGAAGACUAAACCAGCCAAGUAGCGUGAAGGAUGAAGGUUCUAUGGAUUGUAAACUUCUUUUAUACGGGAAUAAAACCUCCCACGUGUGGGAGCUUGUAUGUACCGUAUGAAUAAGCAUCGGCUAACCCCGUGCCAGCCGCCGCAGUAACAC